GAAUUCUAAAAUUUUGUUUUUUGUUUUUGCUUUUCGUUCUUUGGUAUAUUAGAAGCUGAGCUUCAAAAUCGACUUCAGUUCCUAAGAGAGCCAUCACGAUGAAACUACAAUGGUUCCUGUUUGCCUUGGUGGUGUGCUGUUUGGUCAGCAACGCUGCAAGUAAAUGUUGUUGUAAAAAAUAUGUUUGGCGUCAUGGUCGUUGUAUAAAAAUAUAUAGAUGCAGUCACCACAGACAUCAUUGCAGAAGCCGACGACAUACAUGGUGUGGAAACCCUUUCCAAUAUGGUUAGGAGGCGAAAAUAAGAAAAUGCGAUUCGAAAAA